rnacentral:rRNA from 1 species
UGGGGUACGGCAGACUACACAUGCAGUCGAGCGGUAGCACAAGAGAGCUUGCUCUCGGGUGACGAGCGGCGGACGGGUGAGUAAUGUCUGGGAAACUGCCUGAUGGAGGGGGAUAACUACUGGAAACGGUAGCUAAUACCGCAUAACGUCGCAAGACCAAAGUGGGGGACCUUCGGGCCUCAUGCCAUCAGAUGUGCCCAGAUGGGAUUAGCUGGUAGGUGGGGUAACGGCUCACCUAGGCGACGAUCCCUAGCUGGUCUGAGAGGAUGACCAGCCACACUGGAACUGAGACACGGUCCAGACUCCUACGGGAGGCAGCAGUGGGGAAUAUUGCACAAUGGGCGCAAGCCUGAUGCAGCCAUGCCGCGUGUGUGAAGAAGGCCUUCGGGUUGUAAAGCACUUUCAGCGGGGAGGAAGGCGGUGAGGUUAAUAACCUCAUCGAUUGACGUUACCCGCAGAAGAAGCACCGGCUAACUCCGUGCCAGCAGCCGCGGUAAUACGGAGGGUGCAAGCGUUAAUCGGAAUUACUGGGCGUAAAGCGCACGCAGGCGGUCUGUCAAGUCGGAUGUGAAAUCCCCGGGCUCAACCUGGGAACUGCAUUCGAAACUGGCAGGCUAGAGUCUUGUAGAGGGGGGUAGAAUUCCAGGUGUAGCGGUGAAAUGCGUAGAGAUCUGGAGGAAUACCGGUGGCGAAGGCGGCCCCCUGGACAAAGACUGACGCUCAGGUGCGAAAGCGUGUGGAGCAAACAGGAUUAGAUACCCUGGUAGUCCACGCUGUAAACGAUGUCGAUUUGGAGGUUGUGCCCUUGAGGCGUGGCUUCCGGAGCUAACGCGUUAGAUCGACCGCCUGGGGAGUACGGCCGCAAGGUUAGAACUCAAAUGAAUUGACGGGGGCCCGCACAAGCGGUGGAGCAUGUGGUUUAAUUCAAUGCAACGCGAAGAACCUUACCUGGUCUUGACAUCCACAGAACUUUCCAGAGAUGGAUUGGUGCCUUCGGGAACUGUGAGACAAGUGCUGCAUGGCUGUCGUCACCUCCUGUUGUGAAAUGUUGUGUUAAGUCCCGCACGAGCGCACCCUUAUCCUUUGUUGGCGGCGGUUAGGCCGGGAACUCAAAGAAAACGCCACUGAUAACCUGCAGAAAGGUGGGGAUGAGUUCAGUUCUCAUGGGCCUUGCGACGGGGCUACCCCCGGGCUGAAAGGGGGGUGGCAAAGGAAACAACCUCCCCCACCCCCCCCCCCCCCCAAAAUAUUCAUAAACCGGAGGGGGGGGCCCCCCCCCCCUCCUUCCCCAUUUU